UGAGUUUACUGUGUUGCAAUUUGCAGAACUCCAAAAAAUCUUUAUGUGAAACAUGACAGCAGUUCCUCCUAAUCACUAAACCGCAGUAGAGAAGGGAAGCACAGAGCACGCAGUCAUCUGGUAAACAAGACAAUUCAGGAUACAUUUGAAACAAUGAGAGCUGCAGUGGGUUCCAUCCUCAUCUUGAUACUUCUGUGUCAAGGUGAGGCACUGAAAUGUAACUUCUGCACAUCAAAGUCAUCGACCCUCUGCUCACCAACCAGUGUUCAGCAAUGUUCAGGUUUUCAAAAUGCCUGUGGUGCUGUCGUGUUCCAAAGCCCACUGCAAUCUUCAUUCCGUAUGUGCAUGAACAUGGAUGUGUGUCAGGGCUUCAUCAAAACACCUGGUUCUUUCGCCAUUUGUUGCAGCACUGACCUGUGCAACUAAAACUCUUCAGUGUGGGACCUAACUUGAUUUUAGCUGUUGAAGCUGUCCUCUGCAUGAUGAUGUAACAGUGCUGCCCUGCAGAACAAAGUCUAUCCUUGUAAUCUUUGCAUGCAAAUAAAACAUUUGACAGAAAUGUUUUGUUGUUGCUUUUUUU